UGGGUGUCUAGUAUUUUGGUCAGGGGGUUGGAGGUAGACAUGUUUCCUAUAGAGAGUCGAAAGUUUCUAGUUAGAUUUUGUAAUCAGACUUAAUCAAUUUGUUUAGAGAUUUCAUUUUUAAACAAAUUAGGCUCCCACUAUUUUCGUAGAUCCCUACACUUCCUUGGUAGAGAUGUGAAAAUCUCCAUGAUCAGUGAUUUCUAGUGGGUGG
rnacentral:lncRNA from 1 species